AUGGAGCCAGCGACAGAUUCUCGGAAGCCACUCAAGUGGUCCUGCACACGCAUCAUCUUUGAAGAAGAGGAUCACCCUGACCGCACCACCGCGGUAGGGUGUUUUCCAUUGUUGGUUUCACCAAUGAUCCGCAACCUCAAGGUCACAAAGAUGUUGGUUGACGGCGGGGCCGGGUUGAAUCUGAUAUCUCCCAAGGUCAUCAGCAAGCUGCAGAUAGAGGAUGAAGAGCUCAAGGUUACUGGUACAUUCCAAGGGAUCAACCCCGGUAGGAGUCGUCCUAAGGGGAACAUCACGUUGGAGGUAACGUUUGGGGGGGUGGGGUUAAACUACCGGACUGAUAAGAUCGUGUUCGAUGUGGUUAACCUCCCCCUAUUAUAUAAUGGAAUCCUUGGUCAUCCAGCCCUGGCAAAAUUCAUGGCAGCAUCCCACUUUGCCUACAACAUGCUAAAGAUGCCAGGGCCAAUGGGCAUCCGUUCCAUUCCAUCAGACAGGAAGGACGCAAUCAUAUGUGUGGAUAAGAUGUAUCGAGAAGCAGUCGCUGCAGAAGCCGCAAAAGCUACCACUCCCACGAAGUAA
rnacentral:rRNA from 1 species